GAUGAAGAACGUAGCGAAAUGCGAUAAGUAAUGUGAAUUGCAGAAUUCAGUGAAUCAUCGAAUCUUUGAACGCACAUUGCGCCCCUUGGUAUUCCGAGGGGCAUGCCUGUUCGAGCGUCAUUAUAACCCCUCAAGCUCAGCUUGGUGUUGGGGCCUGCUGCACUGGCAGCCCUUAAAAUCAGUGGCGGCGCCAUCUGGCUCUAAGCGUAGUAAUUCUUCUCGCUAUGGAGUCCUGGUGGAUGCUUGCCAUCAACCCCCAAUUUUUCUAUGGUUGACCUCGGAUCAGGCAGGGAUACCCGCUGAACUUAAGCAUAUCAAUAAGCGGAGGA
rnacentral:misc_RNA from 1 species